AGGACGAACGCUGGCGGCGUGCUUAACACAUGCAAGUCGAGCGGAAAGGCCCUUCGGGGGUACUCGAGCGGCGAACGGGUGAGUAACACGUGAGUAACCUGCCCUUGGCUCUGGGAUA
rnacentral:rRNA from 1 species